CGUCCUACCAGAGGAGAUGGUGUUGUUACACGACAGGCAUGCCAAAGAGGGUUCCACAGCUGUUGUUCUAAGUCGUAUGACAUCAAAGUAAAGAACUGUGGCAAAUACACCGCCUACUGUCUACAGGGAGUGGACACAUGUCCGUCGUGGUAUUGCUUCGGUGAUGAACCAUGUGGUUAUGAUGAAGUUGAUGAAAGAAAAUCAUAUGCAUAUGGAAUAGUAAAACAGGUUCAACAGUAAAUACCCAGUGGACAGAAACCAAAACAAACAGGAUAAAUAAACUCGCUUAUACUACAGAAGAUCUUCCACCAUACAAACCUUGAUAUCCUUACAUCUAAAUAUGAAUUCAGAUAUCAUGUUUCUUUUGACAUUGGUUGUUGUAAAAUACAUGUAUACAUUCUCAAGGUCGUGAGUAGGGUAAAAGUUAGCUGUGUUUCUAUAAAUUCCCAACACAGAUAAAAUACAUAUUAAGAUAAUGGUAAAUUACAGAUUAAAUCAACAAUGCAAAACAAGCUUCAAGUCGUUUGAAAAUGUAAUGGAUACUGGCUACAAGUGUUUCAAAAUUCUGAAUUUAUAGUGAAACAGACAUCGUUGAACUUUUUGUAUCUUCGAG